rnacentral:rRNA from 1 species
CCUACGGGCGGCAGCAGUGGGGAAUAUUGGACAAUGGGCGAAAGCCUGAUCCAGCCAUGCCGCGUGUGUGAAGAAGGCCUUCGGGUUGUAAAGCACUUUCAGUGGGGAAGAAAGCCUUGGGGCUAAUACCCUCGAGGAAGGACAUCACCCACAGAAGAAGCACCGGCUAACUCCGUGCCAGCAGCCGCGGUAAUACGGAGGGUGCGAGCGUUAAUCGGAAUUACUGGGCGUAAAGCGCGCGUAGGCGGUCUGAUAAGCCGGUUGUGAAAGCCCCGGGCUCAACCUGGGAACGGCAUCCGGAACUGUCAGGCUAGAGUGCAGGAGAGGAAGGUAGAAUUCCCGGUGUAGCGGUGAAAUGCGUAGAGAUCGGGAGGAAUACCAGUGGCGAAGGCGGCCUUCUGGACUGACACUGACGCUGAGGUGCGAAAGCGUGGGUAGCAAACAGGAUUAGAUACCCGGGUAGUC